rnacentral:rRNA from 1 species
AUUAAACGCUGGCGGCAUGCCUUACACAUGCAAGUCGAACGGCAGCACGGGGGCAACCCUGGUGGCGAGUGGCGAACGGGUGAGUAAAGCAUCGGAACGUGCCCUGGAGUGGAGGAUAACGUAGCGAAAGUUACGCUAAUACCGCAUAUUCUGCGAGCAGGAAAGCAGGGGAUCGCAAGACCUUGCGCUCUGGGAGCGGCCGAUGUCGGAUUAGCUAGUUGGUGGGGUAAAGCCUACCAAGGCGACGAUCCGUAGCGGGUCUGAGAGGAUGAUCCGCCACACUGGGACUGAGACACGGCCCAGACUCCUACGGGAGGCAGCAGUGGGGAAUUUUGGGACAAUGGGCGAAAGCCUGAUCCAGCCAUGCCGCGUGAGUGAAGAAGGCCUCGG